GACGGGUAUCCGGCCUGAGAGGGUGAACGGACACACUGGAACUGAGACACGGUCCAGACUCCUACGGGAGGCAGCAGUAGGGAAUAUUGCUCAAUGGGGGAAACCCUGAAGCAGCAACGCCGCGUGGAGGAUGAAGGUUUUAGGGUUGUAAACUCCUUUUGUUAGAGAAGAUUAUGACGGUAUCUAACGAAUAAGCACCGGCUAACUCCGUGCCAGCAGCCGCGGUAAUACGGAGGGUGCAAGCGUUACUCGGAAUCACUGGGCGUAAAGAGUGCGCAGGCGGGAUAGCAAGUCAGAUGUGAAAUGCUAUGGCUUAACCAUAGAACUGCAUUUGAAACUGUUAUUCUA
rnacentral:rRNA from 1 species